UUAGUAUUCAUAAGUUGAAAAUUAUGGGAUGUAAGCCGGGACAGGCAGCAAGACGAUCGUAAUACGUACACCAUAUGUGAACCUCGUAAUUAUAAAUCUGUCUAUUGUGAAU